CACGCCAAGCGGAGAAUUUUUUUUGUUUUGGUGUUCGAGCAUCGUCGAUCGCUUCCUUUCCGGCACGUAUACACCGCUUUCGUAAUCUGCGUGCGUGCUGCCCGCAGCGCGUGAGGUAGGUGCAGGCAGGACAUCAGAGAAGACGUGCUUUGCUACUGCGAAGAGCGCCACACCCACUCUCGAGACGAGGUUGGUGGGGAGCAGGCGAAGAAGAGGUGAAUCACCUUUAUCAACCAUACAAACAUAUACGCGAAGCCACCCUUGCUGUUGCUUUUUUUUUUCAAGGGAACGCAGAGGCACAACUGUCUCGCUUACACGCCGUCCCCCUUCCCCCGUUUCUUUGUUCUCUCACAUACAUACAGCACAGAGCAUAGAGCCCGACGUAUAGAGGGGCAAUCACCCUCCUCCUCGUCGAACAAACUCUCGCACAAGAGAAAGACGGCGGCACAUCCAAUGGAAUGAGGAAGUUGACAUAUGCCGCAUCCGUCGUCCUACCGCCACACGGCGGUGGCGAAGGAGGCGGUCACAGCACACCUGCGUGGAUGCGCAGCCUGCUCUCCGUCCGCUUUUCCACGCGGCGGCCAAUCCACAAUCGGCCAUCGUCGUGCUCUUUGAGGGUUUUCACACUUCCAAGGUGCGUGUGCGGGUCUGUUUUUCUGCAACGCCGGCGCGUCGCUUCGCGGGCGACGCCAAGUGACGCGAAGGCUUCCGCAGAAAAGCGUAGCCUCUGGGAGGAGUCGUUCGAAGAGGCGCUGUACAAGGACUUUGCACAUCCGUCUUCGGUUAGUUCAGCUGGCACCGUCGAUGCUGCAUCGUCCAGCGAGGUGGCGGACAGAAACCUCGUUGUCCGUGCCGCGCCCCGUAUCGAGGACAUCACGCCAGCUUCCGGUGCGGUGGCCAUAGAGGCGCCUUGGGAUCGUGCUAGCGCAAGUCUCACAGGCCCCGAAACUCUCUCGGUGAAGACUGGUGCAAAGCCGACCCCUGUGGCGCAACCCCCACGUGCGAAUCCUGGCCGAAGCAGCGACAUCAGGAAUCCACUCCUGUUGCCGUCCGUCUCAGGGUGUGAUGAGGAAAGGCGCACGCAUCUCACCGCCGAGGUAGCGUUUGAGCAGGCGCUCUACGGUGGCAUCGUCUCUAUGGGCGAUGGAGACGGAGGCGCCACGGGCAGCCGCAGCACGCCGGGCCCUGGCUCCACCUCGAAUACGCCAAUCGCGCGACCGACUGGAGAGGCAACGGGAGCGAGCAAAGAAUGUCGUGAAGGCUGCGCCGCCGUUGCAACCGGCGCCGCCGCGCCUGUACCUCCGAAUCCAUCUCCCCGGAUACCGGGCCACUUACUGCGGGGAGGCGGAGGGGCGCCUUUCAAGAGCGCCGCUCCGCCUCAGCAGGCUGCCAGGAGCAACGAGGACAAGACUCAGACCGCGUCGGCAAUGACAACGACAACACCACGGGUGACCUUUGCGUCUGCGGAGGCCGCCUUUGAACGCGCGCUCUACGGUGAUGCCAUGAUGGAGCCGCUGAGCGGGAAGGCGGAUGCUCUGGUGUCCAGUGAUGCGAGCAUGCCUGUGGCAGAUGGAGAUGGCAGCGCGUCUCCUGGAGCGCCUCCGCUGCCACCGGCUCCGUCUGCGUCACCCGACACCCUUGACUCCACGCGACGGUACCGCGAUGGUGGCGCUGCUGGCGCACUUGUGCGCAGCGCGGAUGAUGCCGCACCAGAUGGGGCGAUUGAAGGGACACCAGCAUCAGGCAUGAGCGAGGCCGCCACGGAGAGCACCCCACAGGGCCGUGAGGAGGUUCGUCAGCUUGUCGACAACGCGGCAGACACAGAGGUGUCUGACGCAGCCGAGGCCAAGGGUACCGAGAGCGUCUCUGUCGAGGAGGCCAUUCCUCCCCCUACCGUCUCCAUGCGGUGCGCUUUCGAUCUAGACCGUCUAGAUGCCCCGGCGGAUCAGUUUGCACUGCUCGAUGCUCUGUUUCACGUCGCAGACCACCACACAGCCGUCGUCACGCACAUCGACCCUGCAGAUCGGGUGAGGCGAUGCAUGCCGCUGCUGGACCGCAUCAGCAAGCGGGAGCUCUUUUUCGCGAGUGGCUGGAUCUUGGACUUGGAGCGGGCCGAGGGCACCAACGCUGCGCCUCCCCGCACAGAGAGCGCAGCUGGCUUCUCAGGAUCGGCGGUGCCGUUGCCGUUCACGCACCGAGAGGUGAUCGGACGCAGCAAGGUACUGCGCACCCUCGUGUUCCGUCUGCUGCACACGCAACACCACUGGUGGGACCAGGUCCAGGAGGUUGUAUUGCUUGCGGUGAAGAAGGCGGCGGGACUUCAGACAAGCUGCACAGGGGUGCUAGGCGCCGAAGCCACCAUCGAGGACAUUCCUAUGAUGCCCUCCGACGAAGGCGUUGAGGACGCAACGGAGUCAGUUGUCGUGCCUGCCAGCGGCGCGGCUGUUGUGGAGUGCCCGAUGCGACACACAACCGCGGCGGAUGUGCAGGCAGCCAUGACGCGCAUCUUCGGCACCGAUCCCCAGCAGGUGCACUUCUUCAGCGCUGCCCUGUGUGAAGCGCUCGCCACGUUCGGCGACACCGGCGGCGCCAUCGACGGCUGCGCGGAUGGCGCGUUUUCCGCCUUCGAGGGGCCGGUGGCGGCGUGGAACGCUUUUGUUCUCACGCAGCGCCAUCGCACAACUGGGGUCUGCGGGCCGCACACGCGGCCAUUCAGCUUCGGCGAAGGACGACCCACAAUUAACAUUUCAGAUCUUGCGCCGCUGCAGUACUGCGAUGGAGCCGCCUCCUGGAGCGACGCGCCAUCUCCCGAGCCGCUCCCGUGUGCCACCGCUGCGCGGCACAGCGCAGACGUUCGCGUGGCGGAGGAUGGCAGUUGGGUCGACGAGGCCCACGUGGGGCGGCAGCCUACACUUUGCACGCCCUCGGCGGGCGCUGCAGCUGCCGACGCCAUCACCACGUCGUGGGAUACAAUGAGUGAGGAGGAGCAGAACACAUUCCUCUUCGGGGCUAAAAGCGCGCAGCUCUCCCUGCGAGUUCGCGAGUCGGGCGGUGUUUACGCCGUGUUCGGACAGAACAACAUGCCGUUUGAGAUGGAGAGCAUGCUCGCGGAGGCCGAAGUGGCGGUUCAGCAGCGCGAGGCGCUGGGGAAGGAAGAGACGGAGGCCGACGCAGCGGACGGGGGUAGCAGCCACGCGCCGGCAGAGGCAUCGCCGCUCGAGGUGAUGCGCGAUCAGGAGGCAGCGCACGUACGUGCGUACGAUGUAGACCGGGUGGUUCUCGAACUCAUGAACAGCGAGGGAGCGACCGUCACCACGCUGCCUAGCGACCGCUCGACCUUCCUAUCGAGUCUGGCAGCCGCGUCCAACGAGAGAAGCGGAAGCGCCUCCCGACAACAGCGUGCCCGCGGACACAUCGGUACGACCGCGUCCGCCUCCACGAUGCCGUUUCAAUGGCAUCUGCGGAAUAACGAGGACGUGCAACUUGCCGCACUCUGGCAGCGUUUCGUUCGAGCAUCAACAGGCGACCUCAUAGGCAACCUUGUCUACGUGCGCCGCCACGCCAGCUCUCUCGUGCACGACGCCGUGGUCGAUAUCGCCGUGCAGAAGGCCUUCUGGCUGCUUUUCUUCGCGCGCGACGAGGUGCGCGCCGUCACCCAUCCAAAGCGCACGUACGAUACACUCUGGAACUUGCACCAUCAGCUGGUGGCACUCUUCACAUUACCCCGCGGUGGCGGGUCAACGUCCUCGCCGACGCUGCGGCGGGUCACUCAAGGCCGCGAGGCUGCACAGGCGGCGCGCCCGGCCUUUGAGGAUCUCUCGCUGCAAAGCCAGGUGAGCUACGCAUGUUUUGGCUGCGCGCACGUGCCACCGCGGCCGAGUCUCCUGGUUACGGAGACCGCAGGAGUAGCCGCCAAGCCCCACAUCUACUCUAGCGUCAGCAUGCCCUUUGCAUCGCCCACCGACCUGUAUGCUGCCCUCGCCGAGUCCUACAACGGGCAUGGCGUUGGGCAACUAGAAACAGGAGCGGCGUCUUCAGCGUCCGACGACGGCACACAGACCUCGGGCAGAGAAAAGGCAAAUUUUGCGACCCUCUCGGCUCUCCAGCAGCUUUCCAUCGAGUUCUGCUUCCCUCGCAACCGCGCGGAGAGAGCCGAAGCGGCGCUGCUCCUGCCUGCGCGUGGGGGCCCCACAGUCGCGGCGGCAGUCACGACCACCGCGCUUGAAACUGCAGACACGGAGAGGGAUCCGCGGAGCGAGCGAGGCGAGUUUUCUUCCGAUGCCGGAUCGCACCCCGCAUCCGAAGGAGAACCACUGGAUGCUGAAGAACGUACGCAGCCGGGUGUCAAUGUGAAGGAACGAGCAGCAAGUGCCAGCAAGGUUAGGGUCCACGGCGGCGCAGCCGCCGAAUACGCGUGGAUUCGGCAGGUUCACAGCGCACUGGAGGGCAGUGUGUACGAGUGUCUCCGCUCUCUCCGGGCAGCCGGCGCGCUCGCGGCACCGCUCCCUUCCCGAGAGCGCCGCCGCGACAGCAUUGGUGUGGCGUUGGCGACCUUCUCCGACGAGCAGCGGCGCAAGGUGUGGCGCGCCGUGCAGGACAUCACAGCCGCAAUGAUCGAGGGAGACGCGGCGGAGUCCUCGGUAGGUGCGUCGUCGUUAGCGAGGGAGGCACGGGCGCCUACCGAGGCGGAAGGCAAGCAGCAUCGCAUACCCUCUCCCGACGCUGCAAUGGCGGAUGCGCUCGCGUCUCCGAGGCAAGGGGGUUGGGAGGCUAUGAAAUUUGCAAGCUCGCGGCAAGCGCCAACCGUUUCAAAGGGGCGCGACAAGCGCCACCGGGUCAGUGACAUGCUGAUGGCAAGCGGAGUGCCUCUUAGGCGCCAGCGCGGUAGGAAGCCGCGUGCUGUGAGUUUCGACGCCAUCAAGAGUGCAUCGGAGGAGCGAGAAGCUACUGCUCCCGAGCAGACAAGGCGCGUGAGCAAGCCCUCAAUUCAACGGGGCACAGGCCGCCGAGGCCGUAAAGGUGGAGCGGCAAGACGGGAGUGCGGCGUGACCAACGAGGAGGUGGCCCGCGUCAUGGCCUUGUUUCGCGAAGGCGCAACGUAGCCCACCUGCAUCUGCGUCUCCGAGCGCUGUGUUGCAGGACAACCUCACCGACUGGCGCGCCUCGUGCGUGCUAGGUCACUGUCCUAGCCACAUGUGUGCUUGUGCUUGCUGAUGGCCAUGUUGCCCCGCUUUCUCACUGCCCAUGCAUUAACUCGACAACGCGCGCACGCACAUCCGACGUCCACACAAGCAUUUACAUGUGUGAGUGAAGGAAAGGAACGAGAGUAUCGAUGGCCAAAAGAGAAAAUCAGAGAGAGAGAGCAACAAAAGCAGCAUGCGUGCUGCCUGAAAGAGGAGCACACGUGUGCGCAAGCGCUCUGCUGCAG
rnacentral:misc_RNA from 1 species